GAUUCCCAGCCAUGGCUGGUAAUGACACCAAUCUGCAGCACCAAAAAAAGUUAGAAAAUAUAUUAUAGUAAAUAUUGCAUAUUAUAUCUAUACAUACCCCAUCAAACGCCCAAGCGUUAUGAAUUACGAUGCAGUUAAAGAUGUACUCCCUUAAUAGGCUCUUUUUGUAGGCGGCACGAAAGAUCUGUGUAAAACUUCGCUUCGCGAUGAUCACGUCAACCUCGGGAGUAAAUAACUCUCAAACCCGGCUGGUCUGAAUCUUCAGACACAUCUCGUGGUUCAAACUCCCAACCCGAAGCUGAUAGUCAAACCUUCCCUUUUUUAAAAGGUUUUUGUUUAUUAUGACAUCGGAACUCUGACUAUAUGCUUUACGUAGACUUUGAAGAUGUCUGUUAAUCCUUUAUAUGUAACGUAAAAACUUACCGUGUAAGAUCUAAAGUUGGCCUAUCCUUUGCCUGUCUGAUAUACACGCAAAUGAUUCAUAGCUAGCCCAGAGGUGUUCAGAAUUAGGAAUACAUUGCUAUUAUCUCUCUUGUGUUAAAAUUUGAGAUAGUUGACCACUUCCUGGGUCUCAGCAGGCGCCAACGCUACAGCUCCCGCAAUCUCCUCGUCACCACUCACAUCAGACUCGCCAUCCUAUGAUAAGUCACUGCCCGACAGUACAGUGCACGAAGAAAAGCCAGAAUACUUGGUUUUGCACGAGACGCAAAUAUUAAACAAACUACACAACAGAUCCGAAGUUGUCGUCGUCAAUGUUUUCAGGAAAAGAAAUCUGUGUAGUUCAGAAAACAAUUCUACCCCCGUUAGUGUUGAAAAAAUGGAUCUUGACAACAUCAUCUUGAAACAUGGGGGAAGCAUAACUUUCAAUCCAGGAAAAGAUACAUUCUUUGUCGCGACAGACAUUGUUAGUCUGUACACUAAAAGUUAUAGCACAAGAAUGCAACGCAUCCUCUCUUCCUGGAUUCACAAUUGUGUCACUGCUCAAAGUUGCCUGCCGUUUCAAGAAAAGACUCAUUUUUUUUAAAUUCCUGAUAGUAAGUUUCUACCAUCAGCCAAGAAAAGUUC